UAUGGUAGUGUUAAUCGUUAGAACAUUCACAUGUCAUAUUUAUUAUCAACUUUUGUAGAAGGAAGACCCUGUUUUCAAAUCUUAGCUCCGCCACUGAUAGGUGGGGUGCCGGCCGAGGAGGCAACAUCCACUUCUUCUGUGGACAAGGCCGGAGAUCCCGAGAGCAUCAGCAGAAUAGGAGGAGGAGGCAUAGGAGGCUGAGAGGGGUGACAUGGAGCAUGAGAUGGUGCCCUCGCUGCAAGAGAGGGAGCCCUGCCAAUAGUUGUUGUGGGCUUGUGGCACUGGCCACACGCAGCGCAUCACCAACCAUGAUCGUCCAGGCUGUGGCAUGGGGGUCGUGCUUGCUGCUGGUCCAAAGAUUCCCCCACCCUGAUGAUAAGGCCUCAUCCAUUCAAUUUUGACUCUGUAGACCACUAGCUUUUGGUAAGUGCAGCAUGCUCAAGUUUACUUUAUAGCUAUUUUCGUGUUCUGUAAUUCGGUGGUACAAGGUUGUGUGCACAAUACUGGUUUGCUGAAUCUUGGCCUAGAGGUGCUCUCAUUUUAGGCCAAAUACAGCUUAUUCUGAAAGCAUUGCAUCUUUUGGGGAAAUGCUCAUAGGUGGUUUUACUAUGACAGUAUGACCAUGCUUGUAAUGUCGGCUUGUCUUGCUAGGUGGGCUAAUUCAGUAGGCUUAUUCAAUGGCGAAUAGGUCCAUGUAUUAGGUGGGAUGAACAAGUGUUGGUUUGCAGCUGCUAUGUAUAUUUUUAUGGAUCAGAGGCAGUUAAUCUGUCAUUUGCCCCCUUUUGUUAAUUCAAGGCCUUAAGAUUAUGCUCUUAAAUGCAUACACAUGACUUACUUCCAGAUUUAAGAAGUGUGCAUUUUAAAAUGAACUUUAGAGCUGAUGUUGAUCAUAACCAGUACGUGUACAUAGCGGUGCAAAGGAUUUCUUGUUUUCUUCGUAUUGCAUACCAGUUGUUCAAUAUUUGUAUUUGUAGCAUAUUGCGGACUUGUAGUGAAGUAGUGCCUUCUAUGCACCAGAUGUUACUUAUUUUUAGAUAAGAUUUUCUUAAAAUGAAAAAUACUAAAAUGCACAUGUUGCUAAUAAUUUAUUGGUAUUCGAUGACUUCCUUAUCCAUAUUGUGAUUAGUUAUACUAUUUCUUACAGGUUAGAAGGUAUAGAUAAAUAAAUUUGAUUAUAUAUGGGAUAGAGACUAGAAAAAUAUAAGGCGUCAUAUGCAAGUUUUCUAAAAAAUCUUAGGAAUGCAUUGACUUCGGCCUCACACGGGGCAAGACAUGAACCUGAUGCCUGAUAGUUAUCGUCGCUGCACCUUUGCAACUGCUUCUGUUUUCUUGUAAUAUCCUACAUCGAAUGAGAGUUGUUACCAUGCACAUGUUGGUGAUGCAGGUUACAAUGCUACCACAAAGCAUGGUUAAGCCAUGGGUCACUUAUUGAUAAAUGAAGUUGAAGUCAAUUUUUGUGCAAAAUGAAAUAUAUAUUCUUCGAUUAAUGAUUUAGUAGAUAUUGAUUUAAACUGCUUAUAUUGAUUUUUGUGUUCAGGUUGAGAUAACUAGGGUAAUUUUCUAGCCAUACAAGUAAGAUAAUAUGCCUUGAGUAUUCAAACCAGGUAAUCAAUUUUUGCAACUUGAUAUUUGAUUCUUGCAAGGAAUAUUGUUGUUUGCCUGAUUAACGAGAUACUCAAGUCACUUUACAAAAAUGGUACGUCUUUGGAGGCCUUCAUAGGGAAAACUGCUGGCGUUGGCAUCGCUGUUGUCAGUUAUAAACGAAAUGAUCUUUAGCGUGAUGGAAAGUUAUCAGCUCUCGUGGUGAUCACUGAUGAUCUUUAGCAUUGCAUAGUGAGUAUGAGAUUGGACCUCCGUCUUUGGUACAAAUUUGGUUCCCGUCCGCCUAAGUAGUAGUAGAGGGAUCAUAUAAUGCUUAUUUGCAUUGUGCUUUCCCUUCUUUGGUGGAAAUUAAUUUCAUUUCCAUUACCAAAUUUGUACAGAAAAUGUAGAAUGCUAAUGGCAUAAUUACUUUUUCCUCCAGAGCAGAGUUUCUAAGCAAACAAAAAUGGCCACUUGUCCUGCAUAGUGCAUGCAGAGGAGAAAAGUAUGUGCUACCAUAUCCUGAUUGUCAAGAGUAAAUGUGUGUAUGGUUUUCACUUAAGGCAUUGUUCUGAAGUGUCUUUGCAACUUCAGAUUGUGAUUUUAGUGUUACUAUUUCUUACAUGUUAGAAGGUGCACAUUAUCUUUCUCAUCCCAUCUUUGCACAUUAGUUAUUAUCUAUAAUCAGAGAGUAAGAAAUGAAAUAUUUAUUUAUUUUUAGCAUCAAAAUGUUAAAUAUGCAUGACAUCAGAUCCAAUGCACAUAUCUAAAUUAAGACAAAUUUGUUUGAUCAGUGGAGAAUUGCAUACCUUUUUUUUAUUCUGUGCCAACACACGGGUAUUUAUCUAGGCGGAUAUAGACAAUGUGUUAUUUAAUGCAUUGUUAUUUAGUUGGCUAUAGUUGGCCGGUACUAAGUUCUAAAAAGCACCCUCCUCCAAGAGCCAAAUUUCUGUAAAAUUUAGAGUGAAUAAAUCUUUGUUCUAUAUGCAUGCAAUUUUUGGCAGCAUCUUUUAGUUUCUUUUACCGGGAGUGUUAGUUUCUUUUAGAAUUUAGAAAUGGUUGUUCAUGUGUUCCUUCUCACCAGAUCGGAGUUGAUUGGUUUGUUUGUUCCUUUUUAUCAGUCAUCUACCAUGUAAUGUUCUAUGUGAGUUUUUGUUUUAGUCCAAGGAUAUAUUUUCUCUCAUGUGCUUUAAUCAUAUGCACACAUGGUUGCGCAUUGGAGUGUGGGUGCAAUAUUAAAACCAGUCGAUCAUUCCUUUGUUUGUUCCUUUCUAUCAGUCAUAUACCAUGGAAUGUUCUAUAUGAGUUUUUGUUUUUGUCCAAGGAUAUAUUUUCUCUCAUGUGCUUUAAUCAUAUGCGCACAUGGUUGCGCAUUGGAGUGUGGGUGCAAUAUUAAAACCAGUCGAUCAUUCCUUUGUUUGUUCCUUUUUAUCAGUCAUCUACCAUGGAAUGUUCCAUAUGAGUUUUGGUUUAGUCCAAGGAUAUAUUUUCUCUCAUGUGCUUUAAUCAUAUGCGCACAUGGUUGCGCAUUGGAGUGUGGGUGCAAUAUUAAAACCAGUCGAUCAUUCCUUUUUAUGAUGAAUUUAAUAAAUUUUAUUUUGAAUGUAGUCUUAAGACAUCUAUUGUAUUUUUAGACUAAAAUUUUGAAUUGUAGGGUCUAUGUCAGUGAUGUGAAGCUUACCUGUUCUAUGAUGUUUUAACAACAGGCCAUCCAUGGUUGCUUGACAGGAAACAGAGAAGUAGCAGGAUGGGUAUAAUCAACUCAGCUGUUGGUUGCAUUGGGAGGUGGCAUGAACAAAGUAAAGGGGAAGAAAGCGAGCUUGGACACUAGGUGGUGGCACCAACCUGCAACUGUUUUGUUUCGGUCAAAGCAGGGGAGGGGUCAGGCAUGAACCAAACAGCUAUGGCUUAUUGCUUUGAGUCUUGCCGCACUAGGCAAGGUUAGAUCUUGUAAUGUCAUUUUCACGAUGCAAUGAUCAAGCUCUAAGAAAUUCUUGCGUACAUGUCUUUCAGUACUAUUUUUUCCCAUGGUUCAUCUGUGUAUGUCAUUUCCGUGAUGCGGUGAUUUUAAUAAUCUUGCUUAAAAUCGUUACUUAUUAGUUGUAACCAUUGUGGUCAAAUAAAGUUGGAAGCUUAAUCUUCAACCUUGUACAUUGUAG
rnacentral:lncRNA from 1 species